rfam:Picea glauca, whole genome shotgun sequence.
GCAACGGUGUCUUUAGACACCACCACUAUUGUUAAAAAAGCUAUG